GACAAUGCGUUUAGUUAAAAUCAAUCCGCGCAGGGAACAGGACACAGGGUUCCCUCUCUCAAAUUGCUUCGUCGUUGCCGUUGUGUUGGCGAACAACGGGAACCUGUAACUUGAAAUUGGGGGUUUACAAUUCACUUCUGUCCCAAACCCUAGAUUGAUUACCCAAUACUCGCAAUUGUUUUUCUUUCUUGAAAAUGGAUUCAAUUGAUCCUUCUAAGGGCAUGAGCACGCUUGACGCGACCAUGGAAGAUAGCUGCGGUGCCCGACCUAAAGCACCGCGGAAGAAAAUGGGGCCCGUAGAGAAGGAGGCAUCUGUGCACGAAGAAAUGAAGAGGAUGCAGAAGCUGCCUGCAAACAGUACUUAUGUCACUCAUCGGUUGCGGGUUCUCAACAAAAUUCUGCAGCUUUUGUCCAUUCAGAGAACUGCAUCACAAGAACAGGAGUUGGAGUUGCUUUUUGCUGGGCUUUCUAUGUGAACCCAACCAACCUUUUUCAGGCAGUGAAUCUCCCGUCAUGGAUAUCUGUAUUUUUGGAAACCUGGGUUCAGAUCUGUUCCGUUACGCACUGAAGAUUGUAUGUUUUUGGCAAGCUAAACAUCUCUCUUGUGUCUCUCAGAAGAAAAAAAACAUCUCACUCUUGUGACUAUCUUUUGUAUAUACCUUUUCAAAGUUUCUAAGCUUUAAGUUGACCAACAUUGUGAAUAUUUUUGUUUUUGUUUUUCUUGUAUCCUUGCCUGUUGAGUCUUGACAUGGUUGAACUGUACGCCAUUGUGGUAUAUGGAGGAGAAUAGUAUACUAUCAAUUUGGCAUUUUCAUUUCCCAUUUUAUCGGAUGGGUCAUUCUUGGUUUGGGUUUUAUAUGGAUGUAAUUUUCAGCUAUUUGAUUAAGAAUAUUCAUCCAAGAAGAGAUGAUAGAGGAUCUAAACU